rnacentral:rRNA from 1 species
GACGAACGCUGGCGGCGUGCUUAACACAUGCAAGUCGAACGAAGGGACGAACGGGUGAGUAAGACGGAAGUAACCUGCCCUCCUUUUUGGGAUAAGCCUUGAAAACAGGUUCUAAUACCGAAUAAGGGGGGAUGGGCGCGCGGCCUAUCAGCGUGUUGGGGGGGUGAGUGCGUACCAGGGCGGUGCCGGGUAGCCGGCCUGAGGGGGUGACCUGCGAACUUGGGCACGGGCUAAGGUCCAGACGCAUACGGGAGGCAGGAGUGGUGGUUAUUGCACAAUGGGCGAAAGCCGGAUGCUGCGACGCUGCGGGUGGGUUGAAGGCUGUCGGUUUGUAAACCUCUUUCGCUAUCGAACGGGUAGGUGAAGAAGAAGCGCCGGCUAACUACGUGCCAGCCGCCGCGGUAAUUC